rnacentral:rRNA from 1 species
ACAUGCUUACAACAUAGCGUUAAUACAUCAGAUCCCAUUAGAACUCUAUAGUCAAGCAUGCUCGGGCUAGAGUAGUACUGGGAUGGGUGACCAUUUGGGAAGUCCUAGUGUUUUACAUGCC